rnacentral:lncRNA from 1 species
CUUGAAAUUGGAUCCAAUUGACUCUUCGAACCAGGCUCACCCGUCGUUGAAUUAGUCCUUUCUCUUUCUGCUGACUCCCGUUAUUGGAAUCGAACGGAGCAUUUCAAUAUGCCCCGGCUGACUCUAACGGGGUGACUGACCCUGGUCACUCAGUAUUUGCACUGGACUUGGUCGUUACUCCCAAUAUUCGAGGUAACUGAAUAUUAAUAAAAGUCCCCUUACUUUAUAUUUUCACGGUAUACUCAUGUUACAACUCGACAUCCACCCCCUCUGAACCUAUGCAUCCUCCGGUAUGCACCAAUUUACCCAAUUGCUAUUGGAUUUAGAAUAUAUCCUCUAUGUCUUUGUCUAGUUCGUCUUUGUCACCUUCAUUAUUCAAAUCACUUUCAUCUUCUUACUGUGGAAUCUCUAUACCUUCAUUAAGGUCUUUUAUAUUCAUCUCUGCGUGUCUUCCUUUAAAUAUUUUUACUUACUUCCCUGCAAUUGGUAUUUUCAAUUUUGUACCAUCUAACUCCCGUAAUGAGUAAGUCGCAUUAUCAUGAACAAUUGUUACCACAUAUGGUCCAAACCAACGUUUUGAAAAUUUUCGCAAAGUACUAUGUUGAUUAUCCAGACUAUUGUCAUAAACAAGUACCCAGUCACCUUCCUCGAUUGCUUUAGGUCUCAAUCGAUGUUGCUUCUCGAAUCGCGCCUUGUUUUCUAACCUUACUCUUUUUAACCUUCCGAAUGCUAUCUGGACAUCUUCCGUUCUUUGCUCCAAUUGUCGAAUCCUAAUACCCAGAAGUUCUUCUCUUGUCAAUCCAUCUUCCGAUGGUAGCAUACUCCAAGUAAGUACCUUUUCUUCAAUCGGCAUAAUUGGUUUUUGACCUGUCAUAAGUUCUAUUGGCAUAUAUCCUAUCACCAAACUAUGUGUUGUUCGAUCAGCCCAUAAUGCAAAUGACAAAAGCCGUGGCCACUCUUUAACUUUUCCAUUACAAGCUUUAACUAAUGCUUUCACAAUCGGUGGGUGACCGCGUUUGCUUUUUGCAUUCCCUUCCGGAUUAUAAGUAGUAGUCAGUGAUAGUUUAACUCCACAUCUUUCAAAGAACUUACGAGCUUCUUGUGCAUUUAAUUCUCCACGAUCUGCAGUGAUUUUUCCUACGCAUCCGUAGCGACAAAUGAUAUCUUGAAGAAAAAACCUACAAAUCCCCUCUAUAGAUUUUGUUCUCAAUGUUCUUCCUUCUACUUGAUUUGAUAAAUCUUCACGAGCUAAAAUCAAAUAUCUCAUUUACCGUAACCCAACCGACAUAAUAACCAAAUCAACAACCCAUUUAAAAUGAAUAGUCAGAGGAUACGUAGGAUGAAGACCAUCUCGAUGUCAGAUAUUAAAAUACGAUUGACAGAUUUCACAUGACUCUACAAAUGAGAGCACAUCUCGAUACAUAUUUUUCUACCAAUAUCGUUCCUUGAGUUUAGCAAAAGUAGCCCAGAUUCUUCCAUGCCCUGUCCAUAAACUAUCAUAAAACUCCUUUAAUAAUUUUAGUUUUUCUUCCUUUUUGCCUAUCACUCGUCGUGGCAUCUCAAUUCCUUUCUUCGGUCUCUUUCAUAAGAAUCCAUCUCGAAGUAAAAAUCCAUAUGCUUUUUUUCUUAAUUGUUUGAAUUUUUUUGUAGACCAAUUCCCUUGCUUAAUCAAGGUAUUCAAGUAAUGACCAAUAUCCAAUAAUUCUCCUUCAUAAGAUUCUUCAAGAAAUAACUUGUCUUCCCUGUUGAGAUUUGAUAUUGAAUAGAAUUUCAAUCCGACGUCAUCAAUGUCUUCAAUCAUUUCGUCCUCCCUCUCGUAUCUUGCUCGAGAUAGCAUGUCUGCUAUUAAAUUGUCCUUUCCAGUAACAUGCUUAAAUUCUGGAUUUAGUGACUUAAUAUAAGCAAUCCAUCUCAACAUUGUAAUAUCUGGCGUUGAACAAUUAAUAAUCAUUCCAAGCAAUGGCAAGCAAUCUGUUUCAAUUACUACUACCGCCCCAAUCAAAUAGUCCCUUUCAGCUUUCAUAGCCGAAACGACUCCCCAAAGUUCUCUUUUGACUUGUGAAUAUGAUCGCUGACAAAUACUUAAAACUUUAGCUCCAAAUCAAACUGCAAAUCUAUUCCCACUGGAAUCAUCUUGACCCACAGUCCAUCCAAUGGCAAUUGGACUAGGGUCCACAAUAAGAAUCACUGGUCUAUUACACUUAUAAUCAACCUUUCUCAAUAUUGGAGGUGACAUCAAUAAUUUCUUCAAUCUUUGCAUUGCCUAAAUAUGCCUUUUUUCCCAUUUAAAUCAAUAAUCCUUGCGUAACAGUUCAUAUAAUAGAUCCGCUAUGUGAGCACAAUGAGGGAUCCAGAUUCGAUAAAAUAUACAUGCACCUAAAAACCUGUGAACCUCUGUUAAAGAAUCACAAUCCUCUUUCAUCCUUCCAAUUGCAUCAACUUUAGUCGGAUCUGAUUUUCUUCCGUAAGAUCCACAUAAAUGUCUAACAAUCACAACCUCUCAUACUCCAAAUAUGGACUUCAUACCCGAUAAUGUAAGAUGAACUUCUCCAAGCUGAAUUAAAAUCUUUUCACAAUCUUGUAUAUGAUCAACAACAUAUUUGCGACACUCCCUCGUAUCUAAAGUUUCAUCCUUGUCUCCUUCUCUGCACCCUUUUAUAGGAACAUCAUCCACAAAAAGCAUAGUCUUUUCCGGAAUAAAAUCUCUCAAUACCUUAUUCAUUCCAUUCAUCAUAUGCGCAACUGAGUUGGUCGCGCCUUGAGGAAGAGUGCACAUUCUAACCAAUCCAAGUGGUGUCCUCAUUGUUGUCAUAUCUCUACUUCCUUCGGCAAGUUGAAAUUGAUCAUAACUUGAAUACAAGUCACCUAUUGAAUAGAUCGCCCUUCCAGCAAACGCCUCAGCAAAUUCAUCCACAAUAGGUCCAAUUCCUGCAUUUCUGACAGUUACUGCAUUCACCGGUUGCAUAUCUUGAAUAAAUCGUAGUGACCCAUUCUUCUUAGGUAUCUUAAAUCAUCGACUAGAAUACGACACAAAUGAGGGUUCAAAUAUUUUCAUCUUAUCUUUUCUUUUAAUAGCUCAACCAAUUUAGGUAAAUGUACCAUCGAUACUAGAAUCGGUCUUAGAUUCCAAGGUACAUGCGGUGCAGUGAAGAUAACCAUAGGUGUUAUAAAAUUGGGAUCCACACACCCAAUUUCAUGAGAUUUGAAGGUAAACGAUCUACCUUGUUUAGCCAACAUCUUUUUGAAGCAAGUAAUUUCCUCAAGCAAUAAAGAACCAUCAGAACCAAUCUUCAAUUCUUCAAAAGUCUCUCUUGUAAACUGGUGUCCAAUACUCAUUGGAUCUCUUAAACUUGCUUCUUUUGAUGCUUCUCCCAUUUGUUCUUUAGAAUCUUCUGAUAAUUGUCCGGCAACAGGCUUUACCUUCUUAUCUGCCGUUUUAUAUCUCGUCUCUAUAGUGACUUCUGGUGCUUGAAAAGAUUCAAGUAUGGUAUAAACCUCUCUUGAAUGAAUCUCAACAAUCUUAUCAUUAUCUCCUAACCCAAUAGAUGUAAUCAAUUCCAAUGAAUCUUCCAGUCCAUUUUCUUCAUAAACACCUAAAAUCCUCUCAUCAUCUUGCAAUGUACCUAACUUGCAUAAUUCUCUUUCAAUAUUAUAUAAUCUUUUUCUUUCUUUUCUUUUAAAAUCAUCAACUUUCUUAUACAUAAUAUUUCCAUUCUCCAAUAUACCAAUAAAAUUUACAUCAAAGGCACCUUCAUCUCACGAGAGUACCUCCUCUUUUGUACCUCCAUAAUCUCGCUUUACAGUGGUACCUCCCCAAAAUCCUUAAAUCCUUCAACAAUCUUUGGCAAUGGUUUCUCCCUCAACCUAUCUCGAUUCCGUUCAUGGUUAGGAGGUACUGUUAGAAAUUGUACAGCUUUUCUCCUAUCCUCGCUCCGUACCUUUGCAUAAGAAGAACCAUCGUCUAGUACUUUUAUUUCCAUCCGUGUUGCCGUAAUAUAAGGUUGUCCUAAAAUCAACGGAUAAGACAUUGUAUCUUGAACGAAGAAAUGUUGCUCCGUAGCAACAUCCCCAAUCCGAAUUUUGACAUCUGGACAAGCUCCAUAUAAUUCGCCUCAUGUGUUAUUAGCUGCUCGUAUUGCCCAUCCAUGUUCCAUAUCAAUUGGCCAUUUUUGCUUCUUAUAAAGAUCUUUAGACAUGAGAUUUAUUUCAGAACUAUGGUCGACUAAAGCAACAAUUGGUUCAUCUAUAUCUCCUACUUUCACCAAUACCUCAAUAGUUGCCCUUGCCCAAUGCUUUCGAGUAUAAUGGCUCAAAGUUUCUAUUUUCUUAUCCCUAUAAUCUUCGAAACGUACUCGUUGAUUAUACCCAUUCUUUUCAUUUGUUGAUUGCUUGUAACCAAUAUCAACCUCUUCUUUAUUUUUAUAUAUUCUUGCAUCAAUAGCAUGACUCAUUCCAGUUUCGUCCAUUAAUUGCCUCUUUUACUUAAUGCUGUCAACGAUAACAUCAUGAAACUCCUUCUUUGCAAUUUCCAAGACUUCUUUCAAUGUGAAUUCCACCUUAGCAUUUAAUAUAUGUUCUUCUAACACCCCUUUCAAAUUUGUUGCCGCUUCAAUGUCAGAAAGUAGCUUAUAAGCAAUUGAUUUGCCUUUAUCUUUUGUUUCCUUUGUUUUUUCUCUCAAUGAUGCCGAGGUAUCCUUUACAGGUAAUUCUUGUGAAGCUGCCUCCCGAGCCUUGUCUCCUCGAGUUUGCCUCUUAGAAGAAUUUUCUUCUCUAGUAUCAUCAAAAUUUCCUCGUCUCUUUUCUUCCAUCAAAGCUUCAUGUUGGCUCUUAGCAAUAUAUGCAUGAACUGAAAGAGAUUCAACAGGAUUCUCCAACCUGUUCUACCUCGUAUUGUAGCUGCAGUCGUCAAUAACGCUUCUCGAGGUAAUUUCCCUUCUUGCAUUGUAAAAACGGCAGAAGCCCAAAACUCACUAGUUUCUGUACUUCCACCAAUUUCAUCAUCUACUCUAGCAUCAUAACUUGCACUUUCUCGUGCUGCUGUUUCAUGCUCUUUUAGGUAAUCUUGAACCAAUGCUCUCAUUCUUCCCUUGCCAAAAUUGGUUUGAAGAAGAUCCUCCCUAUCUUUCAAUGCUAUCUUCCCAUCUUUCUAGCAAAUAAUUCUGUGCCGUAUCAUAUUAUUAAAUUCAUUGCAAUCUUUUCUAGUGUGUGAAGCAUCAUCACACCAAAUGCAUCUUUGUACAUAUCCUUGUUUUGAAACAUUCUUCGAAUUGUUUGUAGAAGUAUUCUCUUUAAGUCUUGCCAAUUUGAUUUGAAGAUCUCGCAUUCCUCGUAUAAUUUCUUCCAUUCCCAUAUCUGCUUUCUUUGAUAAGGAUGUCGAAGGUUGAACUGUAGGCAUUAUUGGUGGUGUUGUACAUACAGGAGCUUUAGGUGUUUGUAAUGAUUGUGAAAAAAACUCCCAUGAAUUUCUAUAACGAUCCGUAAUCGAUGUAAUAUGGUCUCUUAUCUCCGGUAUUGUGGCAAGUCUAAAUAAUUCAACUAUUUUCUUCUCAAAAACCCGAUUUUAUUCCAUUUCACGAAUAUAACAUCUUAAAUACCUUGAAAUAUUCCUUCCAUCAAAUUGAUCAAUUUUAUUGACCACUACUUGCAAUGCUUUGGUUGCCAAAGCUUCUUUUCGAUCAUUGCUUUGCUGUUGCUGCAUUGAUAAUGAGAAGGCUUGAAACAAACUAGCAAUAGAUGGAUCCAUAUGCAUACCUUGUCCUUUAGAAGAAUCCCCACCAGAAACUCCUCCCAAAGAUCCUUCAAAUUUUAUAUUUUUGUUUUCCAUAUAAUAAAUAUAAAACCAAACGAAAUCCAAUACCUUCUACCUCAAGCUUUCACAUCGGGUUCACCACUUUUGUCGUAUUACGUGCUUUCCUACUCGAGAAUACGUCGGGCGUCUGGCUGUAGAAGGUAGUAUGGAGAUUCUUUAAUAUUUAAACAGUCUAUCAGUUUUUGACUGUUGGAAUAUAAAGGACUACAAGAAUACAUCCUAAAUCUAUUCGGAUGCCCUUCGACUGCUCACCAAAGUCCUUUUUGUCCCAGCCGGGAGGUCUCUAGACGUUACAGAGAACCCCGAACAAUCCAAACUGCUAAUCUUCGAUACUACUUUAUACUCACGAUCUUAUAUCCACUAACUGUCUCAUUAGAUUAACCCAAUAAGUUUCAUUCACUUCGCAUACUCAAUCCUAUAGACACCUUUUUAAUUCUUCAUCACAGACGUAACUCGAUUUCAUAAAAUAGUCAAGAGUAAUCAAACUCACUUCAUUAAAAAUCCCGAUUCACCAUUACAACACUAACUUCAACAACGAUUGCCUCACUCUUCCCAAAAAACCCUAUGAAGAAAAAAAACCCAAUUCUCUGUCUUUUUUCCCUGCCUGAAGCAUAAAGCUAGCUCUCUUGAUCCUUCAAAAAAAUCCCCUCCCAAAACUUAUUCUCUAUCCUCUCAUUUCUUAACCUUAAUUCUGAAUUUUUUCAAUCCUCCGUCUUGGAUCCGAAAUUGGCUCCCAUCGUCAGAGCUUGGAUCCAAAAUUGGCUCUCGCCAUGAGAGCUUUCUCCUCCAUUUUUACCUUUAAGAGAUCCAUUUACCGAAAACAACGUUCCUUGAAACGACACAGAGAACAGGACAGCCUGAAACAGAAUCGAAACCUUGUAAUCGGAACCACAUUGAGUCGCCCGACCAAUUCAGGUCUCACAAUUCAUGUCUCAUAUUGGAUAAGAGGCCCGUAGUAACCUGGAUGUUCCCAAAAUUUGUCCGCAUUGGAUUGUCUGACCAAGUCAGGUCUCAUACUGGGUAAGAGGACCCGGAUUGGAUGUCUUGAAAUUGGAUCCAAUUGGCUCUUCGAACCUGGCUCACUCGUCAUUGAAUUGGUCCUUUUUCUUUCUGCUAACUCCCGUUAUUGGAAUCGAAUGGAGCAUUUCAGUAUGCCUCGACUGACUGUAACGGGGUGACUGAACUUGGCCUCUCAGUAUUUGCAUUGGAGUUGGUCGUUGCUCCCAAUAUUCGAGGUAACUGAAUAUUAAUAAAAGUCCCCUUACUUUAUAUUUUCA